rnacentral:rRNA from 1 species
GACGUAGGGCGCAAGCGUUGUCCGGAUUUAUUGGGCGUAAAGAGCUCGUAGGCGGCUUGUCGCGUCGUCCGUGAAAACCAGGGGCUCAACCCCUGGCUUGCGGUCGAUACGGGCAGGCUAGAGUUCGGUAGGGGAGACUGGAAUUCCUGGUGUAGCGGUGAAAUGCGCAGAUAUCAGGAGGAACACCGGUGGCGAAGGCGGGUCUCUGGGCCGAUACUGACGCUGAGGAGCGAAAGCGUGGGGAGCGAACAGG